rnacentral:rRNA from 1 species
UGGGGAAUAUUGCGCAAUGGGGGGAACCCUGACGCAGCCAUGCCGCGUGAAUGAAGAAGGCCUUCGGGUUGUAAAGUUCUUUCGGUAUUGAGGAAGGUUGAUGUGUUAAUAGCACAUCAAAUUGACGUUAAAUACAGAAGAAGCACCGGCUAACUCCGUGCCAGCAGCCGCGGUAAUACGGAGGGUGCGAGCGUUAAUCGGAAUAACCGGGCGUAAAGGGCACGCAGGCGGUUAUUUAAGUAAGGUGUGAAAGCCCCGGGCUUAACCUGGGAAUUGCAUUUCAGACUGGGUAACUAGAGUACUUUAGGGAGGGGUAGAAUUCCACGUGUAGCGGUGAAAUGCGUAGAGAUGUGGAGGAAUACCGAAGGCGAAGGCAGCCCCUUGGGAAUGUACUGACGCUCAUGUGCGAAAGCGNNNGGAGCAAACAGGAUUAGAUACCCUGGUAGUCCACGCUGUAAACGCUGUCGAUUUGGGGGUUGGGGUUUAACUCUGGCGCCCGUAGCUAACGUGAUAAAUCGACCGCCUGGGGAGUACGGCCGCAAGNUA